UUGACCUCGGAUCAUGUAGGGAUACCCCGCUGAACUU
rnacentral:rRNA from 1 species